rnacentral:rRNA from 1 species
UACGUAGGGGGCAAGCGUUGUCCGGAAUUAUUGGGCGUAAAGCGCGUGUAGGCGGCCCGGUAAGUCCGCUGUGAAAGUCCAGGGCUCAACCCUGGGAUGCCGGUGGAUACUGUCGGGCUCGAGUCCGGAAGAGGCGAGUGGAAUUCCUGGUGUAGCGGGUGAAAUGCGCAGAUAUCAGGAGGAACACCAAUGGCGAAGGCAGCUCGCUGGGACGUGACUGACGCUGAGACGCGAAAGCGUGGGGAGCAAACAGG